CAGGCCGGGCGGCGGUGCAUAAAUAAAUAAUGCAAAAAACGAUCGACGAUAAAAAUGUUGGCAAUGGCAAAACAGAAAAAGGAAUAUCACAGUCCUUUCGUCUAGGUGUUCACUCCUUCCUUCUCUCUAUAUUGUAUAUUUUUGUAAGCCUCGAAAUCUACCGGCGUUUCUCAGUGGAGCAGGAGGUGGAGGUGCCUCUGCGGGCUAUAUAGAAGCCGACGCCAGCGACACUGACACCGACACCGACACCAACACCGACCCAUCGACGAAGCCAGCGGCGACAACGAAAGCUCCAGAGAGACGACGGACGAGGAGACGAUCAACAGGGCGGGGGAGGGGUAAUGCUCGGCGGUGUCGCUCACUCGGUCGAGUCGCUCUGCGGGCCCGCGCCACCGAUGUUCGUAUAAACUUUAAUAAAUAUUAUUACUACUACUAUGCCUCUGUCGCUGUCGCUGUCGCUGCUGCUGUUGCUGCUGCUGCUGCUGUUGUAUUACCUGCUGCACUCGGACGCACUCGUACUCGUCGUCUUGGCAAAAUAUUGUUAACAGUUAACAGUUGAUACAACAGUUCGGAUCGGAUCGGAUCGGCGGUUGCUUUCGCGCCUCGGAUCAUUUCGGAUCGCUGCUGCUGCUUCGUACCCUCCUCUUAUCGGCGGAGAUUAAGCGCUCCCAUACGACUGCUACAUAGAUUUUUCAAAGAUUGCAAAGAGUUGAAGCACUUCAGCAAUAGGAAAUCUCAAACAUAAUCGGGGAUUAUCGGAAGGGGUGAGGCGUGGAGACAAAAUGAAGAGAGAAUUAAGGGAGCAUUUAAUGAGAAAUAAAUACAUAAUUAAGUGGAGAUACACUCUCUGUAGAUAUGGCAUGAAGUGAUGUUGUACAUCAACUCAAUUUCAGAAGCAGAAACACAGGAAACUGUUCGGAAAUUCUAUACUAUAUAUUGGUUUUUUUUUUUUUUUUUAUCAAAAUUAUAUGACUAUUCUUUGGGAUAGUAUAGAAUAUUAUUUGGGAUUAGUAAUAAAAAUAGUAGUCAAAAAUUCAAAAAUUCCAUGCCAUUAAAUUUAGAAUAUUUAUUCCUUUUCUUA